UAAACUCAAGUGAUCUACCCACCUCAGCCUCCCAAAAUGCUGGGAUUACAGGUGUGAGGCACUGCACCUGGCCCCAGAUUUUUGAUACUCUUAAACCUUCUGAUCCUUAGUUUCUUUCUCCAAAAUACUCUUUCUAGGUUUAAAAAAAAAAAAAAAAAAAAAAGCUCUUUUUUUUGGUGCUAUGUAAGUGAAUAUGUAAGUGAAAAUGUAAGCGCUAUAUAAGUGAAAAUGUUUUUUAGGUUUUCUUGAUUUAAUAAUAGAGACAGGGUCUCCCUAUGUUGCCCAGGCUGAUCUCGAACUCCUGGGCUCAAGAGAUCCUCCUGUGUCAGCCUCCCAAAGUGCUAAGUAAGAUUACAGUCGUGAGCCACCACACCCAGCUGUAAAAAUGUACUUAUUUUCCAGCCUCUUUUGUAUAAACUGUAGUAAGGGAUGGGAGUAUUGAUGUUAUCUGAAAAUAGCCACCAUUUACCCAUAAGAUAAAACUUGUUAAAGCAUCCUGAGUCUAACUUAGUGCAUCAGGCCCUUUUUCACACAAAAAAAUCCUUUUUGGGAUUUAAUGGAAUCUGUUGUUUCCCCCUAAGUUGAAAAACAACUCUAAGACACUUUAAAGCAACUUCUUGGCCUGGGUUACAUAGUUCCCAGACUAGGUUUCAGCCUUCUGCUUAAGGCCAGUUUUAGAAACCCGUGAAUUCAGAAAAGUUAAUUCAGAAAUUUGAUAAACAGAAUUGUUAUUUAAAAACUAACUGGAAAGAUUAUAAGUUCUUUCCGAAUUACUCAGAAAUGAUGCAUCAUUUUCCUUCAAGAAUGACAGGGUCAGAAUGUGGAAUCCAAGAUACCUCUUGACUUCCUCUCAAGCUCUGUGUUUGCUCAGUGGAGGCCCAUCCCAGCUCAGCAUGUGUACUGAGAAGUGUUGGUUUCUUUGGGCCCCAUCUACCCUGACCACAUUAUGAUGUUCAUCUGCAGCAGUUGCAAGGUGUUCAGAGUGUGUAAAUACAAAUGGCAUAAACACUUUAAAAGUGCAAUCCUCAAAAGGUUAGGUGGACUCAAGCAUUCUGUAAAGCAACUAUUAAUAAUGAGCUUACAGUGGAUAAUUCAUUUGAAUUUGAAAAAUACAGAAACGAGCCUGUCAUACACCAGCAAGAGCUAUGGAAUAAAACUACUGAUGGAAUUAAGACAGUUGAAAAGAUCAAAUGCCAAGCUAAAUGUAUAAUGAACAAAUUGAAGAAAAAUAAAGGACUACAGAAAGUUCAGGACAUCAAAGAAAUUAGACAAAACUCAUCUUGACCCCUCUUGCAGGCAAAGGAAAGCAGCUGGAAGAAAAGAUGAUACAGCAGUUAAAACAGGAUGCAGACGUGGCAGAGGUUUCUUAAAAAAUCUCAUUGUCUAUAACCAUUUCUGUAUUUACAUUUGUGAAAAUCUCCUUUGGAGACUUAGAACCUCUAAAUUAUUGACUUAUUUUUUAUAUAAGGUCACUCAAAGGUGAUUAAAAAAUCAUCUACAUUGCUGUCUACAGAAUGUCAGAUAAUAUGGAUGUUUGAUUGCAUCUCAUUGUUAACUCUUUACUGAUAGAUAUGUUUGUAAAUACAGAAGUGAAACGUGGACGUAAAAUAGUUACACUAUUUGGUUAAUGGUACUAGGCAACAUUUAUGUAAUGACAUUCAAAAAUUUGUGGCUAGUGAUAUAUAUAAAGUAAAAUUUUCUUUGCAGUAAAAUAUGCCCUUUAUUAUAGAAGGGAGGAUAUAAGGAGCCAACAGUUUGUAUGAAAAUAGCUCAAAUAAUAUCUUUUUAUUAUUUCUUAUUUUGGUUUAUUAGCAUCUUAGAACAAAAUGGCCUUAUAUAAUGAAGCCUAGUUAUGCUGGACUGUUUCGACCUCUUUUAAUUGUUCUGACAGAUAGCUGGGGAUGAGAGCCAAAUAACAUUUGCCUGAAAUGACUGAUACUAUGUACUUUCUGCUUGCACAAAUACUCAGUUCUAACUUGUGAUUCCUGGUAGAACAAGCUUUAUUUUUCAAGCCUAGCACUGAUCUGGAAGCAGAUGUUAUCUCGGUGCCUUUUACAAUUUGUUGUAUGUGUGUUUUUUUUUUUUUAAAAAGGCCGCACAAUAAUUUUGGAAUACAUAUAUGGGUAGAACAUCUGUCUGUUAUUUGCACACAAAACCACUUUUAAUGGGUACAAAGUUAAAUGAGGAAUACAUUCUAGCUGAAGUAUUAUCAACUCCAAAUAACGCUUUGAGGACCUCCAAAGGUAAAA